rnacentral:rRNA from 1 species
CAGCAGCCGCGGUAAUACCGGCGGCCCGAGUGGCGGCCACUAUUAUUGGGCCUAAAGCGUCCGUAGCCGGGCUGGUAAGUCCUCCGGGAAAUCUGGUCGCUUAACGAUCAGACUUCCGGAGGAUACUGCUGGCCUAGGGACCGGGAGAGGCCGAGGGUAUUCCCGGGGUAGGGGUGAAAUCCUGUAAUCCCGGGAGGACCACCUGGGGCGAAGGCGCUCGGCUGGAACGGGUCCGACGGUGAGGGACGAAGGCCAGGGGAGCGAACCGGAUUAGAUACCCGGGUAGUCCUGGCUGUAAACGAUGCGGACUAGGUGUCGGGCAAGCUAAGGGCUUGUCCGGUGCCGCAGGGAAGCCGUUAAGUCCGCCGCCUGGGGAGUACGGCCGCAAGGCUGAAACUUAAAGGAAUUGGCGGG